AGCCGGAUACGCGGAGACGUGUACGUCCGGUUUGGAGGCGAGUAUUUGGAAACCUACUGUAGAAAUACAGCAAGGCGCUGGGUGCUUAGCCUAC
rnacentral:ncRNA from 1 species